rnacentral:rRNA from 1 species
GAGUUUGAUCAUGGCUCAGAUUGAACGCUGGCGGCAUGCCUUACACAUGCAAGUCGAACGGCAGCACGGGAGCUUGCUCCUGGUGGCGAGUGGCGAACGGGUGAGUAAUGCAUCGGAACGUAUCCUGGAGUGGGGGAUAACGUAGCGAAAGUUACGCUAAUACCGCAUAUUCUGUGAGCAGGAAAGCGGGGGACCUUCGGGCCUCGCGCUCUUGGAGCGGCCGAUGUCGGAUUAGCUAGUUGGUGAGGUAAAGGCUCACCAAGGCGACGAUCCGUAGCAGGUCUGAGAGGAUGAUCUGCCACACUGGAACUGAGACACGGUCCAGACUCCUACGGGAGGCAGCAGUGGGAAUUUUGGACAAGUGGGGGCAACCCUGAUCCAGCCAUGCCGCGUGUGUG